AUUGAACGCUGGCGGCAGGCCUAACACAUGCAAGUCGAGCGAGCGGCGGACGGGUGAGUAAUGUAUGGGGACUGCCCGAUAGAGGGGGGUAACUACUGGAAACGGUAGAUAAUACCGCAUACUAUCGGCGACUAGAUAUGGGUUUAGCUAGUAGGUGAGGUAAUGGCUCACCUAGGCGACGAUCCCUAGCUGGGCUGAGAGGAUGAUCAGCCACACUGGGACUGAGACACGGCCCAGACUCCUACGGAGGCAGCAGUGGGGAAUAGUGCACAAUGGGCGCAAGCCUGAGGCAGCCAUGCCGCGUGUAUGAAGAAGGCCCUAGGGUUGUAAAGUACUUUCAGUCGGGAGGCGUUACCGACAGAAGAAGCACCGGCUAACUCCGUGCCAGCAGCCGCGGUAAUUC
rnacentral:rRNA from 1 species